GUGCUCGCUUUGGCAGCACAUAUACUAAAAUUGGAACAAUACAGGGAAGAUUAGCAUGGCCCCUGCACAAGGAUGACAUGCAAAUUUGUGAAAAACACAUUCCAUAUUUUU